rnacentral:lncRNA from 1 species
GGAAGAAUGGCAAGAGGAACUAUGGGAAGGAGGAGCAAUGGUAAUUAAGUGGAACACCUAGGAUUGAACUCAAGAAGACUCAGACUGGGUACAGACAACCAACUGCAUUCCUGAAGAACAUUCUAUCCACCUGCAGAGACUCCCGAUGAAGCACAGAGUAAAGUCAUUCCACUCAGUAAA